CUUUGCAAACUCCCUGCCCUCCCCUCCAUCCGUCACCUUGCAGACCCCUUGCCCAACACUUGCCAACUUGCAAACCCCUUGCACACACACCUUAAAUCGCCUUGCAUCCCCCUUGCCCUAAAUCACACUCCCCGCUUAUUUCACCCUCUCCACUUUUGACUUCAGUGCCUCUCAGGAAACAGGGCUGGGAAACGAAGCUGAGUAAAUUAUGCAAAGGUGCUUCCUUUUUUUUUUUUUUUGCAUCUGGGUCUAUUGCCAUGGGACGACACCCAGGGUGAUCCCAGUUACGAGAAACUUCUGCUGGGUUUUUGUUUACGGCCAAACCGGUUUUUUUAGCCUUGCAACAAAAAAUGAGGCAGCUGCCAUCCAACCACCAAGAACGCUGAGUUGAAAUUCAGGUCAGCAUUUCCAGAUGGCUGAAAUCCCCAGUUGCACAAAAGGUGGUGGUGGGAGAUAACGGAUUGGCAUUAAAAGAAGCAAUCUGGGGGGGGGGUGCUGGGAUUUCCUUCUGUUCUUGGUGCUUGAACAGAGGGGAAGGCAGGGAAUUUCUGGCAGAAGAAAAUGCUGGUUUGCAGGACCCCCCUGUUUCCUGAACGCCUGUUCCCACGUGAUAAUUUCCUGCAAAAAACUGCUACAACAGGAAGUGGUCUGGGAUUAUCUCUGAUUGCUCGAUCAGUUACCGUAGAGCAGUAUUUCCUCUGUCAUUUUAAGAUGGAUGGACUUCAACUCCCAGAAUUCCUUAGCUGGUGAAGUCCACCCAGCUUAAAGUGGCGGAGACUGAGAAGCGCUGAAUUAGAGAAAGUUGCUUUUCUUCUUUCAGUUUUCUAAGUACAUUUCUGUACGGUUCUAUUUCACCCUCAGUUAUUGAAAAGAGCAGCAGGGCUGGUUGGAAGAUGGGUUUUGGGGAGCAAAGUCUCUUUCCGAGCGCCCGACAGUUGCACCCUCCCAGGGUUUUCCAUGCAAUAUUUAUUUAUGUAUUUGAUUUUAAUCUCUCCUUUAUUAUUUAUAAGUAGCUCGGGGUGGUGAAUAUACAUGACACUCCUUCCUCCUGCUGUUCUUCCCAUGGGGUGGGCUGAGAGAAGAGGGACUGGCCCAAAGCCUCCCAGCUGGCUUUCAUGCCUAAGGCAGAACUAGGACUCACUGUCGCCUGGUGAUUGGUCCAAAGUCACCCAAUCAGCUUUCAUGGCUGAGGUGGAACUAGAACUAAUCAUCUUCUGGUGAUUGGCCCAAAGCCACCCAAUCAGCGUUCAUGGUUGAGGUGGAACUAGAACUCACUGUCACCUGGUGAUUGGCCCAAAGCCACCCAAUCAGCAUUCAUGGUUGAGGUGGAACUAGAACUCACAGUCUUCUGGUGAUUGGCCCAAAGUCAUCCAGGCAGGCUUUCAUGCAGGUGGGACUAGAACUCCCAGCACCUAGCCUGAUGCCUUCCCCACUGGACCAAACUUUUCCAGGAACAGGGCUGGGAUUUCAUAUUCCAUCCUGCCUCCUGGCACCUGGUCUUGCCCAGCAUUUUCUCUCCUGCUGCAGCCUUUUCCUUAACCGUGGUUAAGUUACCAGCUUAGGCCAUGUCUGGGGAGCCCGUCUGUGGUUUUAACUCCAGCAGAUCGUCCGCCUGCCAGCAGACAGGCAACCAAGAGGGAGAAACAGACCAGGCUUGUGUGUUGCUGUGUUCUCACGCCUUCCUUUUCCUGCCCCACUGAGUCAACUCCAAGAAUUUUCCUACUGCCUUUUAGGCAGAUCGUCCGUCUGCAUCCCUCCUCAAAUUGAGCGGAGAGCAUCCUGUACGGAGGUGCUGACUUAUUCCUUUGGUUACUGGCCUUUUUUUUUUACACUAGAGCUCUGUUCAGGUUUUUAAAAGUAACGUUGGGGUGUGUGUGUGCUUGUAUAAUCGUGUGUUUUCCCAUCACGCGGACACACCUGUUACCACAGGGCGAAGCGUCUCGUCCCGGAUUUGGGCUCUCUGGGAAGAAUAAUAUAAAUAAAUAAUACCCUGAAC